UACGUAGGGUGCGAGCGUUGUCCGGAAUUAUUGGGCGUAAAGAGCUUGUAGGCGGUUUGUCGCGUCUGCUGUGAAAAUCCGGGGCUCAACCCCGGACUUGCAGUGGGUACGGGCAGACUAGAGUGCGGUAGGGGAGAUUGGAAUUCCUGGUGUAGCGGUGGAAUGCGCAGAUAUCAGGAGGAACACCGAUGGCGAAGGCGGAUCUCUGGGCCGUAACUGACGCUGAGGAGCGAAAGCGUGGGGAGCGAACAGG
rnacentral:rRNA from 1 species